rnacentral:rRNA from 1 species
GACGAACCGUGCGAACGUUAUUCGGAAUCACUGGGCUUAAAGCGCGUGUAGGCGGCCCGGUAAGUCCGCUGUGAAAGUCGGGGGCUCAACCCUCGAAAGCCGGUGGAUACUGUCGGGCUCGAGUACGGAAGAGGCGAGUGGAAUUCCUGGUGUAGCGGUGAAAUGCGCAGAUAUCAGGAGGAACACCCGUGGCGAAAGCGGCUCUCUGGGACGGUACUGACGCUGAGACGCGAAAGCGUGGGGAGCAAACAGG